rnacentral:rRNA from 1 species
UACGUAGGGGGCAAGCGUUGUCCGGAUUUAUUGGGCGUAAAGAGCUCGUAGGCGGUCUGUUGCGUCCGCUGUGAAAACUCGGGGCUUAACCCCGAGCAUGCAGUGGAUACGGGCAGACUAGAGGUAGGUAGGGGAGAAUGGAAUUCCCGGUGUAGCGGUGAAAUGCGCAGAUAUCGGGAGGAACACCGGUGGCGAAGGCGGGUCUCUGGGCCGAAAUUGACGCUGAGGAGCGAAAGCGUGGGGAGCGAACAGG